UCAUAAUGAUCUUUAGAUGAUUUUUAUAAAUGAGAACUAGAUUUUCGAAACUGUUCAUUAUCCUCACACGAGCUGCUGUUGCGACCUUAGGAAAGCAAUGUCUCCACAAUGACAAACAAAUUCAGCAGAGGUGGUCCAGUCUUCAGUCUCCAGGCUUCACAGGUCGAUUGUCGGACAGAAGUGCACCGCCAGUCAUCCCAUGGAAGGCACGGGAAGCUUGUCACUGUCACGUUGAGGACUGGAGCUGUUCGUCAAAGCCCUGAGCUGACCCCGGCAAGUGAGUCACUCGGCGGAGUAAUUCAUGCCCCAUCAAAAAAUCUCCCCGGUGCUUAUGGAGGCUACAAGCACAAUGACACAAUCUGGCGAGCGGGAGAUUAAUUCCGAGUACAGGUAUCAGUGGAGAGAGUCUGUGCUGUUUCUGCUGCAUGAGAGUGACAAACAUCUGUGGUAAAUUCCAAUUUUCACAAUUACACUGGUCCUGUUCUCCUGAACAAACUGACCCGAGACGAUGACCUGAGAUCUGUCAGCACCAUGUCAACCUUCAAAAGCAAACUUUUUUCCUAUUCUCUCAGAUUUUUUGAUUUGUUCGUGUGUGUACCGAAUGUCUGUCUGUGCUCAGUAUCUUUAAUGUAAAGCACCUUGAGUUGACUCAUAAUCGGAUGUUCUUUAUGAAGGAAAUAGCUUUUUUCUCCCAUCUCUCCAGAUGGGAGAAAAAUAUCAAAGCCUGCCUAAACCACAAAUGAAUGCAUCUCUUAUCACUGCAGUGUUUUUUUUAUUUUUUGUUUUUUUUUUUUGCCAGUGAUGAUUGAGUUGAGGAGAAUAAACAGGAAAACACAAGGCUGCCUGAGGUUGCUGCAGGA